rnacentral:lncRNA from 1 species
UGGCUCAUCGCACAUUGCAGAACUGCUCUGAUGAAAUGGGAUUGGGUCAAUGAUAUAUGUCCUCGAGGAGGAGAAAUAGUGUGAUACUUCCUAAUAAAAAGCAUUGACCAUAAAAACUGCUGAAGGUGACAGGAUCUGAUGGGGAAACAGGAGCAAUGACGUCGAGCAGGCAACUCCAAUUUGUCACUUCCCUGGGUCUCUGAGUGUUUAUGGCAGAUAUGGCCUUAUGGAGUCAGGAUAUAUGCAAGAAGAGAUUUGCUAGCAUGAAAAAACUAAGCUCAAAAAUCUGUCCUGAAGAUGAGCUCAGCUUUAGGAUCACAGGCCGCAGAUUUUCAAAAACACACAAAACAGAGAAGCAACUGAGCCUGGUGCAGAAGGGAAAUCGCCUGUUUCUCUCUCCAGCAUCCCCAUGGGCUGAGCCUCAGUGGGCACAGUGUGUCCCUACAGGCAUGCAGUGACUCUGGAAAAUGUGUAACGUUAUUAUGGCUGAACAGUCAGAAGCCACACUGUUCUUUUUUUUAAUUCUCCUGCCUCCCGGGUUUCACUUCACAUUUAUCAUAGUCAUUAUAG